rnacentral:tRNA from 1 species
GCCCGGGUGGCGGAACAGGUAGACGCGCUGGUCUCAAAAACCUGUGAGCGAGAGCUCGUGCCGGUUCGAUCCCGGCCCCGGGUA